GCUUUCAUAGCUCAGUUGGUUAGAGCAUCCGCUUAGUAAGCGGGAGGUCCUGAGUUCAACUCUCAGUGAAAGCA
rfam:Selaginella moellendorffii unplaced genomic scaffold SELMOscaffold_2, whole genome shotgun sequence.